rnacentral:rRNA from 1 species
AGUGAACGCUGGCGGUAGGCCUAACACAUGCAAGUCGAACGGCAGCACAGGAGAGCUUGCUCUCUGGGUGGCGAGUGGCGGACGGGUGAGGAAUACAUCGGAAUCUACUUUUUCGUGGGGGAUAACGUAGGGAAACUUACGCUAAUACCGCAUACGACCUACGGGUGAAAGCAGGGGACCUUCGGGCCUUGCGCGAUUGAAUGAGCCGAUGUCGGAUUAGCUAGUUGGCGGGGUAAAGGCCCACCAAGGCGACGAUCCGUAGCUGGUCUGAGGGGAUGAUCAGCCACACUGGAACUGAGACACGUGCCAGACUCCGACGGGAGGCAGCAGUGGGGAAUAUUGGACAAUGGGCGCAAGCCUGAUCCAGCCAUACCGCGUGGGUGAAGAAGGCCUUCGGGUUGUAAAGCCCUUUUGUUGGGAAAGAAAUCCAGCUGGUUAAUACCCGGUUGGGAUGACGGUACCCAAAGAAUAAGCACCGGCUAACUUCGUGCCAGCCGCCGCCGUAA